UCACUCGGAACACUUUCUCCGUAUUCUCAGGACUACAACAAUCUGGAUGCAAAGUGGCGCCUGAGCUGCAGUCCAGGUUAUAUCGACUCCCCCGAGUAUAGUCGUCAGGGCAUGUCGCCCAUCAUGCCUCGCUCUCCUCAGCACUUUGUCUACCCUGGCUCAGAGAGUGGCAGGAGUUCACCUUAUUAUGGCCAAGAGGAGCGUUCAAGCACACCCACCACAAACCAGCCCCCCAAACAUUUUCAUGUUCCAGCCACAGGGGACCACAACAUCUACAGGAAGCCGCCCAUCUAUAAGAGAACGGACAAUCACUUGGAGUCAGCCACUAAAAGCAGAACCAGCGAGGACCUCCUCCGAUCCUCCAGUUUGUCCACCUACUCUCCUGAGCCGUACGUGCAGUCAGAGUCAGACUACUACUCUUACACCAGCUCCCCCCGGGCCUAUCGGGUGCCGAGAAGACGCUUCUCUACAGGAGGAGAUGAAGAGAGUUGGAGUCAGGGUCUUCAAAGAGUUGGGAGUGGCAUUGGGAGGAUGAUCCUAAAGGAGGAGAUGAAAGCCAGAUCUGGUUCCUAUGACAACGACCCCUGGGGCAGCGCAAGGAAUUCUCCUAGUGGGAGCAAGGAAACGCUGAACACAACAGGCUACGGGACCACAGCGUACAGCAGCAUUAUCAACGGCUCUCUUAGGUCGCAGUACAGCACUGACAGUGAUUUUGGUUGUAAGUCAGCCUCUCUUCCAGGAUAUGGGCGCAAUGGUAUUCAACGGCCUCAGAGUGCAGACUGCUACCAGUACCAGUACGACUGCGGCGGUGAGGUGAACUGGGCCAGCAGAGGUACAUUUAACCAGACUUAACAGCAGCAGCCUUUUGUUCUUCUGUUCCCUUUAAUGGUUGUUCUCUCUUUUCUUCCAGCAGAACACAAGGUACAUACACAACAUAUUUUAAAAACUCCAUCAAGAAACUUUUUUUUCUAAAAUGUUUACUUUUUGCUUCUCUGCAGAUUUACCCCUACGAGUCACUUAUUGUCACCACCAGAGGGCGCCACAAGCUGCCCAAAGAUGUAGACAGAGCCAGACUGGAACGCCAUCUUUCCCCAGAGGAGUUUACCCAGGUGUUCGGUAUGACCACGGAAGACUUCGACCGGCUGGCUUUGUGGAAGAGGAACGAGCUAAAGAAACAGGCUCGGCUGUUUUAGCUCUGAGUGUUUAUAAUUGCCAUGAGAAGUAGAGUCGGAGACUUUGCUGUCGGGAGAAUGGUGAGGGAUGAAGACUUUUACUCAGCUUCACUGCCAUGCCACAGAACCUGUUCCAGAUCUCCUCUCACGACAAACCAAAUCCCGAUCACACCAGAAGUCUUGUGGGAGACCGAGGAGGCGAUGUGCAGAUAUGACCUGGAUCCCGCUGCAGCGGUGUGCUGGAGUGGAGUGUAAGCAAUAGAGACUAUGUCCAGAAGACGUGGGACGACGCUACUGCUGCCGUACAGCCACGCAACACCGUCCGCGACCAGAGCUGCGGCAGUAAAAGACGAUGAGGAGGAUUUUGGCUUUGCCUUACUUUUUAUGCUCUCUUAGUUAUGACACCAGCAUUCUGAAUGAGGCGAAUGUAGAUAUCGUUGAUGAUGCUUUACUGAUGUGAAUGAUGCUAAAGGAAGAGCGCGUGUGAGCAUAACACAGCGAGACAUUUGGUUUACCUGAUCUCAUUUCUGCCGUUUGAUCUGAAAAAGUACUCCCAUGGUUUACAAACACAUAAGCUUCUUACUUUGUUAUAUGUUUUACUUUUGCCAGCAUUGGUUUUAUAUAAAAAUGACACUUCCAGGUAACUAGUAGUGCUUAGAGAUUACUAAUAGAUGCAGCUGUAUGUGCAAUCUAAUAGAUUUAAUAAGUAAACUUACUUCCAGUAAAGUUAGUUGGUUCUCUGGAUUUUCAGAAACUAAAUGGUUGAGCUAAAAUGUGUUCUAACACAAAGAAAUGCACAAGUUUGUACAUUUAGUAGAUUAUCAGAUGAGGGUCGCACAGCUGAUAUAAAAGGAGAAUCUAGCCAAAAAAAUCCAAAAUAUGUAGAAAUGUAGAAGUUUGAAACCACAAGGCCCCCCUAAUGCUUUGGUGCAGUACAACUUUCCUCCCAUACAAACUGACCAUUGACUAGAUGCUACGGGCGAGCCCUCUGCGCCAUCACCAGUAGGUUUCUGAAGAGCUGAAUUGAAGCCCAGUGGGCGGUUCCCACCACCACCAUCUUAGCCGUGUCACGUGGAAAUACAACAAUGGAGCUAGGAGUGGGGCUGUGAGUUUGGGGCAUCAAACCUUGAGCCGCUGUAGCUACGAGCUAACUGAAAGCUAACGUAGGUGGCUGGGGACGUCUGCUACCCUCUGCCUUCUACAGCAGGAUGCAAAUGUUUGGCCAGCCUUGUUAAUCUUCAUGAUUUUCCUGUAUAACAUGUUGAUUGUUACAAUAAAAAAUUUGAGAUGCUGUAUGUGAGAGUGAUGCAGAGGAAGCCUUUCCUCUACCCACAGCACAACCAGAGCCACUUGAGGUAUGCUAAAGCACAUCUGGACAAGCCAGCUCCAUUAAUAAGAUGCUGUGGGCUGAUGAAACUAAAACUGAGUUAUUUGGGCAUAACAAAGGUGUUAUACACAGAGGAGAGAGAACACAGCAUUCCAAGAAAACACCUGUUACCUAAGGUAAAACAUGGUGGUGGUUUCAUCAUGCUGCGGGCUGUGUGGCCAGUGCAGGGACUGGGAAUCGUGUUAAAAGUUGAGGGACGCAUGGAUUCCUCUCAGUAUCAGCAGAUUCUGGAGACCAAUGUCCAGGAAUCAGUGACGAAGCUGAAGAUGCAUCAGGGCUGGAUCUCUCAGCAAGACAAUGACCAAAAACAUGCAGAGGAACAAGCAGAACGUUCUGGAACGCCCAUCUCCGUCCCCAGACCUGAAUAUCAUUGAAAAUCUGUGGUGUGAGUUAAAGAGAGCUGUCCAUGCCUGGAGGCCAUCAGACCUUAAUGAACUGGAGAUGUUUAGUAAAGAAGAAUGGUCCAAAAUACCUUCAGCCAAAAUCCAGACUCAUUGGAAGCUACAGGAAGAGUUUAGAGGCUAUAAUUUCUGCAACAGGAGGAUCUACUAAAUAUUCAGUUCAUUUCUUUUUUGUGGUGCCCAAAUUUAUGCAUCGGCCUAAUUUAGUUAAAAAAAUUAUUGCACAGUUUUGUUAAGCCUAUAAACGUUGUUUCCCUUCUCAAAUAUCACUGAGUGUCUCCUAUAUGAUGUAUUUAACUGAAAUUUUUAUCAUAACCAACGAUUUAUACAAGAAAAUCAUAAAGAUUAACAAGGCCGCCCAAACUUUAGCAUCGCACAAUAAGCUAACACAUUUAACAUGAAGCAGAUGUAUUUGUGAGUCGUUUGUUAGACUGAAAAGUUCUUUCUGACAACAAAAACAAAGACAGCGCUCAAAAACAAGAAAUUUGUGCAUCUAACUAUAACAAACCAGCAGAUUUAAAAUGGAAAUCAGGCACUCGUGGUCAAUACUUAAUCCCAAACCCAGUCAGAACCAGAUCCUUUUAUUAUAAAAUCAGUUCCAGUGAAUCAUAUGGAUAAAGUUCAGUGAACCUGGAAGGUUUGAUGUUUAAAUCUACCCAAGGAUGCAAAAAUCCAUUCUACAUGCCAAAGAUGAGAAGUGACGAUUCAGGCUGCUAUGUGCAAUAGUGAUUCAUUAUAUGGAGGAUUAUCAAUAAAAUGACACGGUUACAGAAGUCUGUGACACAUGCUAGCAGAAGUUUUUGCAGGAAGCAGAGCCGAGAACACCAAGCAACAACCUCCACGUACUGGAGGAACUAAAAUCUACCAUGCACCGUCUCCUUUUGUCCAAACAAGUAGGCGUAGAUUCUUCGUUCCAAACUGCAACAAAGUGUUUAGUUACGAUUCAGAGAACUUACUUGCAACUUUUCUGGAACCUUCAUAAAAAAACACUAAGUUCUCCUCCUCUUCUUGGCUCACUGCAAAGGUAGAAUAACUCAGCUCUUCGGGUUGAGUGCUCUCCCUUAUCAUUUCCACUAUUUUUGAGUAAAGUUAUUUUGUAGCUCCAGAGAUUUUAUUCUCUCACAAACACUCCGCCAGGUCUUUAACACGCUGACAAAGAUCCAGGGUUGUUUACGACUUUACUUCUUUUGAGAAUUGUUAUUUUUGAUUUUGACACUAAAAUUAAACAACACAUCAAACUCUU